rnacentral:rRNA from 1 species
CCUAAACAUGCAAGUCGAGCGGUAACAGAAAGUAGCUUGCUACUUUGCUGACGAGCGGCGGACGGGUGAGUAAUGCUUGGGAACAUGCCUUGAGGUGGGGGACAACAGUUGGAAACGACUGCUAAUACCGCAUAAUGUCUACGGACCAAAGGGGGCUUCGGCUCUCGCCUUUAGAUUGGCCCAAGUGGGAUUAGCUAGUUGGUGAGGUAAUGGCUCACCAAGGCGACGAUCCCUAGCUGGUUUGAGAGGAUGAUCAGCCACACUGGGACUGAGACACGGCCCAGACUCCUACGGGAGGCAGCAGUGGGGAAUAUUGCACAAUGGGCGCAAGCCUGAUGCAGCCAUGCCGCGUGUGUGAAGAAGGCCUUCGGGUUGUAAAGCACUUUCAGUCAGGAGGAAAGGUUAGUAGUUAAUACCUGCUAGCUGUGACGUUACUGACAGAAGAAGCACCGGCUAACUCCGUGCCAGCAGCCGCGGUAAUACGGAGGGUGCGAGCGUUAAUCGGAAUUACUGGGCGUAAAGCGUACGCAGGCGGUUUGUUAAGCGAGAUGUGAAAGCCCCGGGCUCAACCUGGGAACUGCAUUUCGAACUGGCAAACUAGAGUGUGAUAGAGGGUGGUAGAAUUUC